rnacentral:rRNA from 1 species
AACGUAGGACGCAAGCGUUAUCCGGAGUUACUGGGCGUAAAGCGCGGGCAGGCGGUCGGUCAAGUCUGAUGUGAAAUCUCUCCGCUCAACGGGGAGCAGCCAUUGGAAACUGGGCGACUGGAGUCUGCCAGAGGUAGGCGGAAUUCCGGGUGGAGUGGUGAAAUGCGUAGAGAUCCGGAGGAACACCAGAGGCGAAGGCGGCCUACUGGGUCAGUACUGACGCUGAGCCGCGAAAGCCAGGGGAGCGAACGGG